UUGAAUGUUGGCGGCGGCAAACAAGGGAGAGUGAGAGGGAGAGGAAUCAGGAAGAUAGGUUUGUGUAAUGGUGGCUUGGGUGGGCAUCCGUUUCUCUCUUUUUUCUCUCUCCCUUCGAAACAUGAUUUUCACCUCGACACAGUAAAAGGCCAUAUCUAUUAUAGGGAUCAAGAAUGGGUGACCAUGGGAUUUUACAACCCCAAGCAAUCCAUGGAUGACUAUAUUGGGAUCUUUUCCCCUGCUAAUUUCAGUGACUCCAUUUGCCCAUCAGAGGACCAGUGGGUUGAUGGCCCUCUCUUAUGCACGACCCCUAUUAAGUUCCAAUAUACAAACUACGCGACGACCGACUAUGCGAAGACCGGAAAAGGGUCCUUGAGGCUUCAGAUAAUUAAUCAGAGGAGUGAUGUAUCAUUCACACUAUUUUCUGGAGGCCUCUCAAAUCCGGAGCUUAUCGCACAUUCAAAUAGCAUAACUUUCGCAAACCCGAAGGCUCCUGUGUAUCCACGCCUGGCACAAGAAAAAUCCUGGGAUGAAGAUCUUGAUUUGAUGUUAAAUGACUUAAUGCUAGAUGACAGUGGACAAGUGGAUAUAGUAUCAAGGAGGCUGCACCGUUUGUCGAAUGGGGCAUACAAGGGCAAAUUCAAAUCCUUUCUCCUGCAGGCACCCUCACGUUCAGUCGCGACACUAUGUGUGGUCAGUAAUUCUUACCAUGCCAACAACAUCCAUGUUGUACUUCCAUGGCUUAUACGGGAACUAGCAUGUUCAUAAGGUCUGAAACAAAACAAAAGAUUGUAUUGAAAGAAGAUUAUAAUUGCCGAACAAUUCUUAUUGUAUGUGCAUGGCAGAGUUCUGAAUUAAGAACGAGCGACACGUAACUUCUAAUUAACCCCAUAAGGCAUAUGACAUAGUGUUUUAUUGUGAUUUUACAACAUGCCCGCCUGCUAGGACAAUUGGAUGGCGCAAUCCUGGUUUCAUAAAUACAAGUUUCCUCAAGGACCUGUGGCCUAAUCUUAAGUAAAUAAGUGUUCAUAACCUUGGCCUAUUUGCACAUGGGCUCCUAUUAUUAGCUAUUCAAUUGUACAAAUGCAAGCACCUAGGAGAUUUAUAGGUGAGUGCAGAUUUCAGGUACAUGUACAGGGUUGGCCAUUGGCUAUUUAAUGGACAAAUUGUUUGGGAACGUCAGUAUAGCUUCAAAGCGCCUCCUAUCCCCGGGAGGAUUCUUUACAACGUGUCAUAUUUGGAGAUUUGGGCAAAGCCCAGAUUGAUGUCUCAAAUGAAUACAAUGACUUUGAGCGUGGUUCAGUCAGCACAACACACCAACUAGUAAAGGACUUGAAGAAUAUUGAUAUGGUGAUGCAUAUCGGAGACAUCUGCUACGUAAAUGGUUAUUUGUCACAGUGGGAUCAGUUCAUUGAGCUUUUGGAUUUUUUUUCUUUUUUCAGAUGGAGGUGAGGAUUUUUUUUGGAGAAUUUCCUUUUUCUUUUUUGAAGAUGUUUCUUUUCCUUGCUUAUAUGUGCAUGUUCGUCAGCAAUUAGAGAAAAAAGUGAUGGAAAGGUCGCUUGCCGAUCUGGCAUCGCAUAAACUUCCUCUCAGGAGACACCACCGGAUGACAUCCCAACCCCUAGUGCAAUCAAUACUGCACGGAUAAAAAGGCUACUCGAUUGGUCCGUCGUCGUAAGGCCAACCCUAACCGAUACUGCUACUAUUAUCUCCCUUAUGGUUUAUUGGUCCCUUUUGUAUUUUGACUGAGUCUAGCCGAUCCUCUAUAUAAAACAAAAUAAAACCUUUAUUUGACUCA